rnacentral:rRNA from 1 species
AUUGAACGCUGGCGGCAUGCUUUACACAUGCAAGUCGAACGGUAACAGGCCGCAAGGUGCUGACGAGUGGCGAACGGGUGCGUAAUGCAUCGGAACGUGCCCAGUCGUGGGGGAUACCUACUCGAAAGGGUAGCUAAUACCGCAUACGAUCUAUGGAUGACAGCGGGGGACCGUAAGGCCUCGCGCGAUUGGAGCGGCCGAUGUCAGAUUAGGUAGUUGGGGGGGUAAAGGCUCACCAAGCCAACGGUCUGUAGGCGGUCUGGGAGGACGACCAGCCACCCUUGGACCGAGACCAGGCCCAGACUCCUACGGGAGGCAGCAGUGGGGAAUUUUGGACAAUGGGCGGAAGCCUGGUCCAGCAAGGCCGCGGGGAGGAAGAAGGCCUUCGGGGUGGAAACUGCCUUUGGAAGGAACGAAACGGCUCCGGUUAAUACCCGGGGCUAAUGACGGUAACGGAAGAAUAAGCACCGGCUAACUACGUG